rnacentral:lncRNA from 1 species
UAGACAUUCAAUGUAAACUUCCGGGUUUGUGCUCGUUCUGAUUUUGGAUGAUUAUUUUGGACCCUACAAGAGCUUAGUUGUGUAGGUACACAUUUUGGAAAAAACUGUUGAUAUUCAUAUUUGUUUUAAGAUUUUUUAAAGAAAUAAAUUUCAUUUUUUUGGUGCAAUGUAGAGACAGAAAGCAGUGUCUAUUUAUAUUGCACCAGAAUUUUUUUUUUAAUUAAUAGGAAAUAGCAAAAUCAAUAAAUUUUAAAAGCAAAUGUAAAUUAGGAAAUAUAUGCAUUAUAGGGACAGUCCGACAGAAAUAUAAUAGUCCCAUUUCAGAUCAAUUUCAGAUCAUAUCAAAUCAAAAAUAUAUAAUAAGGCAUAAGCAUGAUGAGAGUUGCAAUCUGCGGCUAGUAAAUAGGGAUUUUUUUAACAUAAGGUGUAUGGGCAAAAUGAUGGGAGCAACAUUCAUAGACAAUCUGACUAUAACCAUGAUAACAGCGCUAAAUGAAAAAAUGACAUAAAAGUCUUUAGGGUAGGCUGUUAUCAGUUUAUUAAGACUUAAAAGUAGGAUAGGACCAUAGGUACAUGUACAUUGAGGAAGUCCAAAUUAUUAUAAAGUCUUGGAAGUCUUUUAUUUUUUUGCUUUAACGCCUUACUAACAUGACAAUGGAGUCACAACAACAAAGUAAAAUACAAUGUAGUCUUUCAAGAAGUCAUAAUUUUUUGGACUACAUGUAUAAAUUUACAUUUAGGUAUAUAAUACAGGGUACAUGUAACUGUAACCACACAUAUAUUUUUAUUUGGCCUAACUCUAAUAUACAUGUAUUAUAUAUAUAUAUAUUAAAAUAAAAUCAGAUAAAAUGUAUUUAAACUUUUGAAGUUGGUAAAAAAGCAUACAACAUACAUGUUUGUACAAUACAAAAUCUACAGAGCUUUUAAAAUUGAUCAUUGUUGAUGUUCUAAAAGUAUAAACAUAACAAAUAACGCUAGACAAACCAUGUUACAACUUGCAUGUACAUGUACAUGAAAAACAUAGAAUUUGUCCUGUACAUUUUUGUACAUUAACAAAUGUAUAUGAUUUAUAUUUUUGACAAAACAUCAUGCUACUUUUUUUUAUCAUAUACAUCAUGUACAUGUACAUGUAUGUACAUAUUGUAGGCUAAGGCAAUGCCAAUGAACUGUGCGAAUAUGAAAGACUAAACUGCUAGUGACAGUGUUUACAUGUACAAAAAAUGUACAUGUAGGUCAACCUUGAAAUGAAAGAAAAGAAAAAACAAAAAUGGACAGUUCUCUGUUUACCCCGAGUGGUCAGCUUCUACCCAAAAAUCAAGGAGCCAGAUGAUAUAUAGUACAUUGUAGCAUCAACUGGGUGAGUUAAUACAGUACCUGUAUAUACAUGUAUAUAUGAAGAUGUGGUGUGAUUGGCAAUGAGACAACUUCUCACCAGAGACCAAAAGAAGUAAACAAUAUUAUUCUGCUACAUGUAAGUACUACAUUUAACCAUAGGCAUAUUGAAAUGGUUUUUAAUACUUUUUAUGCCCCACCUACGAUAGUAGAGGGGCAUUAUGUUUUCUGGUCUGUGCGUCCGUCCGUCUGUUCGUUCGCCCGUCUGUCCUGCUUCAGGUUAAAGUUUUUGGUCAAGGUAGUUUUUGAUGAAGUUGAAGUCCAAUCGACUUCAAACUUAGUAUACAUGUUCCCUAUGAUAUGAUCUUUUUAAUUUUAAUGCCAAAUUAGAGGGUUUACCCCAAUUUCACGGUCCACUGAACAUGGAAAAUGAUAGUGCGAGUGGGGCAUUCGUGUAUUGGGGACACAUUCUUGUUUUUAUUCUUGUUUAUUAUGCUCCAAUAAUGAAUAAAUGGAUAAGUUGGUUAAAUAUAAUAUUAAUUGAAAUUUUAAAAUGUAGUUUACCAAAAGAGCAAAGACUGGUUAUCGUUGGUGAACAGCAAGUAUGAAAAAAAUCGAGACAGUGUGAUAUUCUGACUGUUGCCUUGCAACUUGCAAAUAAAAUAUUUAGCAAAUGAAAAUCAAAACGAAGAGUGAGGAUUUAAUACAAAGCAGGGUACAAUGUAUAUUCAAAUAUAGUUAACAUCUGACUGUCUCUAAUAUAUAUGAUAUAUUUACCAUGUUGACAUGCAGACAUUUGAGAAGCAAUUGGUCAAACAUUUUUUUUUAGUUUAUGUACAGUGUACAUAUAUUCUGAGAUACAGUAGUAUUCAUUUGGUAUAAUCAGCUCUUUUUUUUUUUUUUUAAUACUAAAAUUAAUACAGUUAUUUGAAUUUUCAAAUAUUUUACGUCAUGCAUCACUUACAAAUGUACAAGACAUCAAUUGUUGAAAUGCACAUCUAAUGCUGCAAAACUGGUAAUAAUGUUGAAUGUUAUUUGUGUAGUCAGGGGUGGUACUUAAACAAGUGAUUUCAAAAUCACUUCUUUGAGUCAUUUUGGCUGUGAAAUAUUUAAAAUUUUUGCACAGACUUUUCAAAAUCACUGAAACAAGUAAUUUGAGAAGUUAAAAUUUAAUCACUUCAAUAAGUGUUUAUAACAUUUUUGGGAUAUUUUUCCCACAAGCUUGAUUUUUUUAUUGGUAAAAAGACCAGAAUUCCAUUGAGAAAACAACUAUGUACAUGCAGAAAUUGUCAUUUCCUUGAUAAGCCUGCCAGUGUUUACAAUUUAUUUGAAUAUGCAAAAACUGGAAUAAUUUGUAGAUCAGGACAUAACCUUAAAAUAAAUCAUUCUAAUUCUAAAGAAACCAAUCAGGUCACCUAAUACUGUUGACCUUUGUCUGAUAGUAAGAGUAGUUAAUGAAUAUUUGAUAACAGAACAAUUCCCAAGGGUACUUUUAUAAGCUUUAGCGCACUAACUUACUGCCCAAGCGCACUGGUGAAAUUGAUAUCAAAAGAUAAAGGGAUAAUUGAUUUAUGUAGGAAAAUUAUAGAAAUUUGUGAAAUAUGGAAAAUCAAUGAAAUUAGCAUUUGAAGAUCAAAGAAAACACCAAAAUCACUUAAAUAGGUGAUAACUGAAUAUAAAAAAUCACUGAAAUAGGUGAUAAUGAAAUCACUUGUUUAAGUAGCACCCCUGACUUCAGAUCAAAUCUUUUGAAAUCUAGCUAAAUACAUGAAAUAAUUUCAAUUUUCUUUAACAAUGUUUAAAGUAAGUCAUUUUUUGAUGUGUUUAUAUUUCUUUACAUGUUUGAUCAUUUUUAUUUUAUACUUUUCAGAGAUGUAAUGCACUGAUGUUCAAAUAUGACCUUUUCCAAGCAUACUGCACUGUGGAUGGUGUCAUUCUCCACUGUUAUUAUUCUAUUGCUGUGUCUCUUUUGGAAUGAUCCAGUAUUGAAGACUAAACAGUAUAUCGUGCUACCACCAAGACCUUAUUAUUUGCCAAAAAAAUCUGAAAACCUGAAUACAAAAUUAGAAUCAUCUGGUUCUUAUAAACCCACAGAAGAGAAAGAAGACAUAGCUAAAAUACUAGAUGUUGUUAAAAGUAUGAAACACAAAAAGCCCCUGUUAGUUACACUGAUCAACAAUGCUUACCUCCCCUUUACCUACAGCUGGCUAUGUAACACUAAAGACAUGAAUAUUCAUAAGCAGGUAGUCAUUAUUUACAUAAUAUUAUCACACUUUAUUAAAAACACAUGUUGAAUGGAAUAUUUAUUACAACAUCUAUGAUGACUUUGUAGACUUAGUAAUCAUAGAAAUGAUAACUUGCCAAAAAUUCGCCAUUUUGAUUGAAUUAUUAUGAAGC